GAUAAACGCUGGCGGCGUGCAUAACACAUGCAAGUCGAACGAAGUGGCGAACGGGUGAGUAACACGUGAGUAACCUGCCUUACACAAGGGGAUAGACUUUGGAAACGAAGAAUACUACACUAUAGUGUAAGAUGGACUUGCGUCUGAGUAGCUAGUUGGUGAGAUAAAAGCCCACCACGGCGACGAUCAGGAGCCGGCUUGGUAGAGUGUACGGCCACAUGGGGACUGAGACACGGCCCAAACUCUCCGGGAGGCAGCAGUGGGGAAUUUUGCACAAUGGGGGAAACCCUGAUGCAGCGACGCCGCGUGAUUUAGAAGGCCUUCGGGUUGUAAAAAUCUUGUUUAUGGGAUGCAGGACCAUAAGAAUAAGGUCCGGCUAAAUACGUGCCAGCAGCCGCGGUAAUUC
rnacentral:rRNA from 1 species